rnacentral:rRNA from 1 species
GGAAUAUUGGACAAUGGGCGCAAGCCUGAUCCAGCCAUGCCGCGUGCAGGAUGACGGUCCUAUGGAUUGUAAACUGCUUUUGUACAGGAAGAAACCCUUUCACGUGUGAGAGAUUGACGGUACUGUAAGAAUAAGGAUCGGCUAACUCCGUGCCAGCAGCCGCGGUAAUACGGAGGAUCCAAGCGUUAUCCGGAAUCAUUGGGUUUAAAGGGUCCGUAGGCGGCCAGAUAAGUCAGUGGUGAAAGCCCAUCGCUCAACGGUGGAACGGCCAUUGAUACUGUCUGGCUUGAAUUACAAGGAAGUAACUAGAAUACGUAGUGUAGCGGUGAGAUGCUUAGAGAUUACAUGGAAUACCAAUUGCGAGGGCAGGUUACUACUUGUGGAUUGACGCUGAUGGACGAAAGCGUGGGUAGCGAACAGGAUUAGAUACCCUGGUAGUCCACGCCGUAAACGAUGGAUACUAGCUGUUGGGAGUGAUCUCAGUGGCUAAGCGAAAGUGAUAAGUAUCCCACCUGGGGAGUACGGGCGCAAGCCUGAAACUCAAAUGAAUUGACGG